UACAGGGGGGUGCAAACGUUGCUCGGAAUCAUUGGGCGUAAAGCGCACGUAGGCGGUUCGUUAUGUCGGAUGUGAAAGCCCUUGGCUUAACCGAGGAAGUGCAUCCGAAACUGGCGAGCUAGAGUACGAAAGAGGAUCGCGGAAUUCCCGGUGUAGAGGUGAAAUUCGUAGAUAUCGGGAGGAACACCGGUGGCGAAGGCGGCGACCUGGGUAGAUACUGACGCUGAGGUGCGAAAGCGUGGGGAGCAAACAGG
rnacentral:rRNA from 1 species